AUGAAGGAACAGAAGCUGGAAAAGGAGAAGUGACUCCUCCCAGAGUGACAGAGGUUCCUCGACUGGUUCAUGACAGCGUGGGAACUGAGGCCAAGGGUUCUAGCCUCCCGACCAAGUGCUCCUUCUGAUGAGAAACUUCCUCUCUGCACUAAAUAACAACUCUCACUUCCUGAGAUCUCUGACUUCUGUGGAACACUUUCCCCAGAGCAGCCCCUUCCGCCACAGCCGGGGAAGGCUGAAACAGCAGCACAGGCUGAGCUUGCCACCUGGGGGCCGCUGGGAAGAAGUGCUGCGCCAGGCCGGCCAGAGACUCCGAAGAGCAGGCGGCAAGAGCUGUGAGGCCUCGGACCCAGCUGCCUAGACCGAUGGGUUUGGU
rnacentral:lncRNA from 1 species